GAGUGCUUAGCUCAGUGGUAGAGUGCUUGCCUUGCAUGCAUGAGGCCCUGGGUUCAAUUCCUCAGCACCA
rnacentral:tRNA from 1 species